AAAAGGAGCUUUCUAAAGAGUCCUAAUGGGAGCCUGAUCCUUCAGUUAUUCACAACUUAAUAAAUUUACAUCUCUUCUUGCUCUGAUACUUGAGCUAUCUAGGCUAAAGUUACUUGGUUCUUUGCUCGCUAGACUAUUACUGGUAUCCCACCCCGAAGUUUGAUACAGCGAGACCUCAAAGAGAACCAAAUGGUAUCCUGAGGAUAGGGUGGGGAAGCAUGUAAAAUUUAGAAAACUGAGAUUAUCAUGUCAAACCAAGAUACUCCCAGGGUCACUUUGUCUCUGAGUUAUUGUGAAUGAGAGGCCGUGAGAAGGGCGGCUCCGAUGCCUGA
rnacentral:lncRNA from 1 species